GACGAACGCUGGCGGCGUGCUUAACACAUGCAAGUCGAACGGUGAAGCCCUUCGGGGUGGAUCAGUGGCGAACGGGUGAGUAACACGUGAGCAACCUGCCCCUGGCUCUGGGACAACCACUGGAAACGGUGGCUAAUACCGGAUACGACCCGCCUCGGCAUCGAGUGUGGGUGGAAAGUUUUUCGGCUGGGGAUGGGCUCGCGGCCUAUCAGCUUGUUGGUGAGGUGAAGGCUCACCAAGGCGACGACGGGUAGCCGGCCUGGGAGGGCGACCGGCCACACCGGGAAUGAGAAACGGGCCAGACUUCUACGGGGGGGAGAAGGGGGGGAUAUUGGAACAUGGGCGGAAGGCUGAUGCAGCGACGCCGCGUGAGGGAUGACGGCCUUCGGGUUGUAAACCUCUUUCAGCUCCGAAGAAGCGAAAGUGACGGUAGGAGCAGAAGAAGCACCGGCUAACUACGUG
rnacentral:rRNA from 1 species